rnacentral:rRNA from 1 species
UGCAGUCGACGGUAGCACAGAGGAGCUUGCUCCUUGGGUGACGAGUGGCGGACGGGUGAGUAAUGUCUGGGAAACUGCCCGAUGGAGGGGGAUAACUACUGGAAACGGUAGCUAAUACCGCAUAACGUCGCAAGACCAAAGAGGGGGACCUUCGGGCCUCUUGCCAUCGGAUGUGCCCAGAUGGGAUUAGCUAGUAGGUGGGGUAACGGCUCACCUAGGCGACGAUCCCUAGCUGGUCUGAGAGGAUGACCAGCCACACUGGAACUGAGACACGGUCCAGACUCCUACGGGAGGCAGCAGUGGGGAAUAUUGCACAAUGGGCGCAAGCCUGAUGCAGCCAUGCCGCGUGUAUGAAGAAGGCCUUCGGGUUGUAAAGUACUUUCAGCGAGGAGGAAGGCGUUGUGGUUAAUAACCGCAACGAUUGACGUUACUCGCAGAAGAAGCACCGGCUAACUCCGUGCCAGCAGCCGCGGUAAUACGGAGGGUGCAAGCGUUAAUCGGAAUUACUGGGCGUAAAGCGCACGC